rnacentral:lncRNA from 1 species
CAUUACAAAAUUACUAAUCUAAAUUUUAAUUAUAACUAAAUUCUAAAGCAAAUAAAAUUACAUUAAGUUAUGUCAACAUUGCAGUUAGUUCAAAUAGUGGAUGUCAUUGGUAACCAAGAUUGUUUAUUCUAUGUAGAAAAAAAAAUAGUUUAUUGUAUUUUAACUUAUCAACAACAAUGUUAUGUUCAUAUGUAUGUGUGUUCCCAUAACUAAAUUACC